rnacentral:rRNA from 1 species
GAUGAACGCUGGCGGCGUGCCUAAUACAUGCAAGUCGAGCGAACGGACGAGAAGCUUGCUUCUCUGAUGUUAGCGGCGGACGGGUGAGCAACACGUGGAUAACCUACCUAUAAGACUGGGAUAACUUCGGGAAACCGGAGCUAAUACCGGAUAAUAUUUUGAACCGCAUGGUUCAAAAGUGAAAGACGGCCUUGCUGUCACUUAUAGAUGGAUCCGCGCUGCAUUAGCUAGUUGGUAAGGUAACGGCUUACCAAGGCAACGAUGCAUAGCCGACCUGAGAGGGUGAUCGGCCACACUGGAACUGAGACACGGUCCAGACUCCUACGGGAGGCAGCAGUAGGGAAUCUUCCGCAAUGGGCGAAAGCCUGACGGAGCAACGCCGCGUGAGUGAUGAAGGUCUUCGGAUCGUAAAACUCUGUUAUUAGGGAAGAACAUAUGUGUAAGUAACUGUGCACAUCUUGACGGUACCUAAUCAGAAAGCCACGGCUAACUACGUG